AUUGAACGCUGGCGGCAUGCUUUACACAUGCAAGUCGAACGGGGUGGUGGGCAACCCGCCAUUCAGUGGCGAACGGGUGAGUAAUGCAUCGGAACGUGUCCCGUAGUGGGGGAUAACCCGGCGAAAGCCGGACUAAUACCGCAUAUGCUCUACGGAGGAAAGCGGGGGACCUGAAAGGGCCUCGCGCUAUGGGAGCGGCCGAUGUCCGAUUAGCUUGUUGGUGGGGUAAUGGCCUACCAAGGCGACGAUCGGUAGCUGGUCUGAGAGGAUGAUCAGCCACACUGGGACUGAGACACGGCCCAGACUCCUACGGGAGGCAGCAGUGGGGAAUUUUGGACAAUGGGGGCAACCCUGAUCCAGCCAUGCCGCGUGCGGGAAGAAGGCC
rnacentral:rRNA from 1 species